rnacentral:rRNA from 1 species
UACGGGGGGGUAAGGCGUUGUUCGGAAUUACUGGGCGUAAAGGGCUCGUAGGCGGCCAACUAAGUCAGACGUGAAAUCCCUCAGCUUAACUGGGGAACUGCGUCUGAUACUGGAUGGCUUGGAUUCGGGAGAGGAAUGCGGAAUUCCGGGGUGUAGCGGUGGAAUGCGUAGAGAGUCCGGAAGAACACCGGUGGCGAAGGCGGCCUGCUGGGCAGUAGCUGACACUGAGGCGCGACAGCGUGGGGAGCAAACAGG